rnacentral:rRNA from 1 species
GACGUAGGGCGCGAGCGUUGUCCGGAUUUAUUGGGCGUAAAGAGCUCGUAGGCGGCUUGUCGCGUCGUCCGUGAAAACUUGGGGCUCAACCCCAAGCUUGCGGUCGAUACGGGCAGGCUCGAGUUCGGUAGGGGAGACUGGAAUUCCUGGUGUAGCGGUGAAAUGCGCAGAUAUCGAGAGGAACACCUGCGGCGAAGGCGGGUUGCUGGGCUGACACUGACGCUGAAGCGCGAAAGCUAGGGGAGCGAACGGG